CCGAUAACACACAGGAGAGAAAAAACAACAAGGCUGCAGCCUGAGACCUGCUCCACUCAGUUUUCUCCACACAGGGGAUUAUUAAUUCUCACCAAUCCUGCCUGCCUGCGUUUUUCUGAUCAACAGCGUCAACGUGGCGAUAAAAUGGUUGAUGGUUCCCUUUUUAACUAUUUUUGAAUCUACCUGUGACCAAUCAGCUCCCUGGAUAUUCAGCCACGGGCCGUUGUUGAAAAGUGAAACAGGCAGGCUGCGAUGCUCUCAACGAAGGAGAAGGAGCUGAUUGCACAAAUAUGGGAACGGCUGACUCCUGUGGCAGAAGACAUUGGCUCAGACGCGCUUCUUAGGAUGUUCGCCUCUUACCCCGGCACCAAGACGUACUUCUCCCACCUGGACAUCAGCGCCCGCUCCGCUCACCUGCUCUCCCACGGGAAGAAGAUCGUCCUGGCCAUCGCAGAGGGAGCCAGAGACAUCAGCCAGCUGACCGUCACUCUGGCUCCUCUGCAAACGCUGCACGCCUACCAGCUCCGGAUAGACCCGACCAACUUCAAGCUCUUCUCACACUGUAUGCUCGUCACCCUGGCCUGUCACAUGGGCGACGACUUCACGGCAGUCGCACACGCGGCCAUUGACAAGUACCUGUCAGCGUUCGCAGCCGUGCUCGCCGAGAAAUACAGAUGAGACCCAGCCACAUGUGUGUCUAAGAUGCAAAUGAGACAUGCACAGAUGUAAGAAGAAGACAUUUGUGUAGCUUGUGGAAGAGUCUCUCAGGCAUAUUGACGGAUCCUAGUGGUUGGACCCAUUCAAAUUCCCCUUUCCUUUCACUUCAAAGAGACUCUGACGGACGACAAGGUGAUUAUAUAAAUUCACAAUCUCUUACUCCAAAGCCCCAAACAAAUGAAGAACUCACCUUUGAAUGACACAGUGGUGAAGAAACUGUCUUUGCUGAUGAAAUAAAAAUGGGAUGAAUUCUUCAGAACAUAAUCCUAUCCAAUAUUUGAAAACACCAUAGUUUAGAAAAGCUUUAGCUACUGCUGAGUGCACUUUGUGGUGAAGUGUUUUUAUAAUCUCCUUUGCCAAAGGUCAAGAAUGACAUUUCAACCUUAAGCCUUUAAGCCAAUUUUUGCCCUUAAAGUGUAAAGAAUUACUGUUUAACCAGAUUCCAUUAGCUUCAAACAGCUGUUAUGACCUUAAACACUCUGUGUCACACUCACACCAUUGAAAACAGUCUAUCUUAUCUAUUGUUACUGACCAUAUACUGCUUCACACUCUGUAAUGCACAGAUAAGUCUUCCCACAGC